GAAAAGAAAAAAGAACACAAAAGAAACUUACAAAAGAACAAAGGGUUUUGUCUAGGUUCGAUUUAGGUUGAUUGGUUGGUGAUGUAGUGGAGGCUAGAAUUCUGGUUUGAUUUCAGGCAAAGGGUGGCUAGAGUUGCUGGUUUAUAGAGGAGAUGAGGCAAAGAGAGUGAUUGUUUUUCUUGGUUAUGGUGGCUGUUACAUGGGUCUACUUUAAACUCUAUUGGAGUUAUUUGAUUGUUGUGGGGUUGUUCAACAGCGUGGUGGCUGGAUGUGAAGAUGCUGUCGUGACUGGUCAACAGUGGGUGGUUGUUGUCUGUAGACGGUGGCAUGACCGUGGCUACUGUUCUGGAGGUGGUGGCAUGGCUUUGGUUGCUAAUCCGGGGAGGAUGAAUAGUGACUAGGGUUUCAGGGAGGAUGAAAUGAUUUUUGUCUGAAAAGAGAGAAAUCGUGAGGAGUCUUGCUAUUAGACAAAUAACUGAUUGAUAAUUGGUGAAUUUAUAUGCAAUUUCUAUCUUUUGAUUGAAGUAGUCUAUUGUCUUUUGAUGGGGACAAAUAUGAGAUGAAAAGAAAGAAGGGAAGGGACAGAAGGAAAGAAUAAAGGGGAAGAGAUUGAAUAAAAGGACGAUAUAUAAAUGUUUUGACAAGUUUAAGGACUCAACCUGCGAAUGGCCAAAAAAAAAAGAAGAAGAAAAACUAUAUGAAUUAAAAUGCACUCCUGCUGAGGAAUGGCUGAAACGCUGGUGUAGAGAGGUUUGCUGCUCACGUUGCUAGGCUGAGAGUUGCUGGUCUGCUUGACAGAGGAAAACCACAGGCUGCACUGUUGCCAAUAGUGAAGUCUGCUCACAGGUUGUAUCCUAGGACUGCUAUCAUGACUGAAGCUCAUGGUGGAAAUGAGAGGAGCUUCCUGGUGUAGAGUGAUUAGUACGGUGAGAGAUGGUGGUGCUCACGGUGCAAAAAAUGAGAUUCUACCGCAACUGGUGAAUAUUCUAUUAGAGUUCAUGGAUGUUGUGUGAGGUGACUGGUGGCAACACUACCAUGGCGGCUGGUGUUGGGGUGGAGACUGACCCUGGGGAGGAGCUCCUGGUGAAAAAGAAAAAACUCUGCUACAGUUGAGAAAUGGUGUGCCUGAUAAAGAACAAUCUCUGCUGCUGUUGGAAGGAGGAGCUCCACUGCUCACAGUUGAAACAAUUGUCGAUGCUGAAAGGAUGAAGGCUGAGCUGCUGUUGGAAAAUCCUUCACUGUUGCUGGAACGGUUGAAGAUGAAUAAAGGCUGACUGUGCUGCUGCUGAAGCUGCUGGUCUAGCUAAUUCUCUUGUUGUUGUUCACAAUGUUGUUGCUGUGAGUGGAGUCUCUCUGUUGGAACAAGAAAAACAAAGUUGCUGUGAACAGAGGAGAGGGGGUAGACGUUGCUUGGCGGCUGGACGUGACUGAUGCUGAAAACCUCUGCUACUUCUCACGGCUGACAGAAGAGAAGCUGGCCUGACUAAAAAGAAGACUCCUGCUCACGGUGCGGAAGACUGGCAGCUGUGAGGGAGAGAAGGCUUCUUGUUUUUCUUGGAAAGGAGGAGGUCGUAUUUUUGUACUUGAUGUUUUACGGGAGAGAGGGGUAUCUUCUUGUU